rnacentral:rRNA from 1 species
GUCUAUGGCCAUGUUACCCUGAGCAAGCCUGAUCUUGUCUGAUAUCAGAAACUAAAUAGGGUCGAGCCUGGCUAGUACUUGGAUGGGAGACCACCUAGGAAGACCAGGUGCUGUAGGCG